AUACGGAGGGUGCAAGCGUUAUCCGGAAUCAUUGUGUUUAAAGGGUCCGUAGGCGGGCGAUUAAGUCAGAGGUGAAAUCCCACAGCUCAACUGUGGAACUGCCUUUGAUACUGGUUGUCUUGAAUUUUAGUGAAGUAGAUAGAAUAUGUAGUGUAGCGGUGAAAUGCAUAGAUAUUACAUAGAAUACCGAUUGCGAAGGCAGUCUACUAACUAACAAUUGACGCUAAUGGACGAAAGCGUGGGGAGCGAACAGGAUUAGAAACCCUAGUAGUCC
rnacentral:rRNA from 1 species